rnacentral:rRNA from 1 species
UACGGGGGGGGCAAGCGUUGUUCGGAAUUACUGGGCGUAAAGGGCGCGUAGGCUGUUUGCUAAGUUGGAUGUGAAAACUCUGGGCUUAACCCAGAGCCUGCAUCCAAAACUGGCAGGCUGGAGUUUUGGAGGGGGAAGCGGAAUUCCUGGUGUAGCAGUGAAAUGCGUAGAUAUCAGGAGGAACACCGGUGGCGAAGGCGGCUUCCUGGACAAAAACUGACGCUGAGGCGCGAAAGCUAGGGGAGCAAACAGG